rnacentral:rRNA from 1 species
UAGGGAAUCUUCGGCAAUGGACGGAAGUCUGACCGAGCAACGCCGCGUGAGUGAAGAAGGUUUUCGGAUCGUAAAGCUCUGUUGUAAGAGAAGAACGAGUGUGAGAGUGGAAAGUUCACACUGUGACGGUGACUUACCAGAAAGGGACGGCUAACUACGUGCCAGCAGCCGCGGUAAUACGUAGGUCCCGAGCGUUAUCCGGAUUUAUUGGGCGUAAAGCGAGCGCAGGCGGUUAGAUAAGUCUGAAGUUAAAGGCUGUGGCUUAACCAUAGUACGCUUUGGAAACUGUUUAACUUGAGUGCAGAAGGGGAGAGUGGAAUUCCAUGUGUAGCGGUGAAAUGCGUAGAUAUAUGGAGGAACACCGGUGGCGAAAGCGGCUCUCUGGUCUGUAGCUGACGCUGAGGCUCGAAAGCGUGGGGAGCAAACAGGAUUAGAUACCCUGGUAGUCCACGCCGUAAACGAUGAGUGCUAGGUGUUGGGUCCUUUCCGGGACUCAGUGCCGCAGCUAACGCAUUAAGCACUCCGCCUGGGGAGUACGACCGCAAGGUUG